rnacentral:tRNA from 1 species
GCGGGUGUAGUUCAAUGGUAGAACAUCAGCUUCCCAAGCUGAUUGCGAGGGUUCGAUUCCCUUCACCCGCUCCA